CAACCCUUAAGCCCUCGUUGCUUAGCGUUGGGAGCCUACUGGAACUCUCCUGUAGCUCCCCAAAGUCAGUGGCGGAGCCGGCUCGCACUCCAGACGUAGUAGCUUUUACCUAUCGCCUGUAGCGUGGACCGGUCCCCUGCCGUAAAACCCCCCAAUUCUUAUA
rnacentral:misc_RNA from 1 species